CGUAGGUAACCUGCCUAUAAGCCUGGGAUAACUAGUGGAACCUUUAGCUAAUCCCGGAUAAGUCAUUUCAUCGCAUGAUGAGAUGAAGAAAGAGGGUUUACGCUCUCGCUUACAGAUGGCCCUGCGGCGCAUUAGCUAGUUGGUGAGGUAAUGGCUCACCAAGGCGACGAUGCGUAGCCGACCUGAGAGGGUGAUCGGCCACACUGGGACUGAGACACGGCCCAGACUCCUACGGGAGGCAGCAGUAGGGAAUCUUCCGCAAUGGACGAAAGUCUGACGGAGCAACGCCGCGUGAGUGAAGAAGGUUUUCGGAUCGUAAAGCUCUGUUGCCAGGGAAGAGAAGGCAGAUGUUAACUACAUUUGCUUAGCGGUACCUGAGAAGAAAGCCCCGGCUAACUACGUGCCAGCAGCCGCGGUAAUACGUAGGGGGCAAGCGUUGUCCGGAAUUAUUGGGCGUAAAGGGCGCGCAGGCGGCCCAUUAAGUCUGGUGUUUAAACUCGGAGCUCAACUCCGAGUCGCACUGGAAACUGGUGAGCUUGAGUGCAGAAGAGGAGAGUGGAAUUCCACGUGUAGCGGUGAAAUGCGUAGAGAUGUGGAGGAACACCAGUGGCGAAGGCGACUCUCUGGUCUGUAACUGACG
rnacentral:rRNA from 1 species